rnacentral:misc_RNA from 1 species
AUAUAUCAACCUUCUCUUGUUUGAGUGGUUUGGAUGUGGGGGUUUGCUGGCCCUUUAAAGGGUUCAGCUUCCCUGAAAUGCAUUAGCAGAACGCAAACAUGUUCAUUGGUGUGAUAACUAUCUACGCUAUUGAAUGUGAGGGAGCAGUUCAGCUUUCUAACAGUCCCUGGACAAAUUUAUCAUCAUUA